rnacentral:lncRNA from 1 species
CUAGUGUUGGGUCCUCAUCAUGAGUGCGAGCCUAUGGAUGUAGAUGGUACCAGUGUGGGGACUUGUUUCCUAAUGUCACGUAGGGCAGACAGAAGACUGCAUUUUCCAGCCUCUCCCUGGCUGGGUGUGGCUGUGUGUUUAGUUCCAGGCAUUGGGCAGGGAAAAGAAGUGAUGUGUGCACCCUCAGGCCAAAGCACUCUGCAGGAAAAUAGAGUUUUAACCCCUGCCAUUGUUCAGCUCAUUUUCUCAGAGGUCACAGCCCAUUCUGCGGGUGUCAAUACCAUGAUUGCUUCUAGAAUCCCGAUGAUCGGCUGGUUCAUUUGUGUGACUUUAUUGAACAUUUGACAAGAACAUUGAUAAUAAAUGAG